CAGUAGCCGCGGGAAUACGAGGGGGGCAAGCGUUGUUCGGAAUUAUUGGGCGUAAAGGGCGCGUAGGCGGUUUGGCAAGUUUCGUGUGAAAUCUUCGGGCUCAACUCGAAGUCUGCACGGAAAACUGCCGGGCUUGAGUAUGGGAGAGGUGAGUGGAAUUUCCGGUGUAGCGGUGAAAUGCGUAGAUAUCGGAAGGAACACCUGUGGCGAAAGCGGCUCACUGGACCAUAACUGACGCUGAGGAGCGAAAGCGUGGGGAGCGAACAGGAUUAGAUACCCCCGUAGUCCCUGUCUCUUAUAA
rnacentral:rRNA from 1 species